UACGUAGGGGCCGAGCGUUGUCCGGAAUUACUGGGCGUAAAGCGCGCGCAGGCGGCUGAUCAAGCCUGACGUGAAAGCCCCCGGCUCAACCGGGGAGGGUCGUCGGGGACUGGUUGGCUUGAGGGCGGUAGGGGCCGGUGGAAUUCCAGGUGUAGCGGUGAAAUGCGUAGAUAUCUGGAGGAACAUCGGUGGCGAAGGCGGCAUCCUGGACCGGUAUUGACGCUGAGGCGCGAAAGCCAGGGGAGCAAACGGG
rnacentral:rRNA from 1 species